CUAUCAGGAGGCUUCUAAUUUGGAGCAGUUUGUGACUCGCUUUCUCUUGAAGGAGACACUGAACCAGCUUCAGUCCCUCCAGAGUUCCCUGGAGUGUGCCAUGGAAACCACGGAGGAGCAGACCCGGCAGGAGAGAAAAGAUCCAACAAAACCAGAAGUGCUCUCAGUCCAAUGGCCAGGGAAACGCUCAGCUCGAAGGCUUCAGAAGAACAAUAGCCUGCCAUCAAAUAACCCUCAUUCUAGCACAGGUUGGAUUGAGGAAGACAGCCAGUGGAUGACCCAGAUAAAUAGACUCCAGAAGCUAAUUGAUAGACUGGAAAAGAAGG